GACUAGGGAGAAGGAAGUGACGUCAACAACGCAGCAAAUGCAGAUUGGAUGUUGAUUUUGUUUUCUUCUGUCAACAUCCAAUCUGCGUUUGCUGUGUCGUUGACGUCACUUCCUUCUUCCUAGUCU
rnacentral:pre_miRNA from 1 species